GCUGCUGGGAUACCGGAGGACUCGGGUCCCGGCUCGACUCAGUCCUCCAGCCGCCCGGGGAAUACCUCUAGUUCUUCCCGGCCGCCGCCGCCGCCGCCGCCCCGCCGCUUCCUCCUCCGCCUGCCGGCCUCCUUCGCCCCGUCCCGUCCGCGCAGCGCGUCCGGCCCGCCCGCAGGCCAGCUUCUCUCGGGAGCCCCCACCCAGGCGCAUGGCUCCAUGAAGCAAGAGGAGGAGGCAGAGCGCGAGAGGUCCCGUCCGCCCCAGCCGCGUCUGGGCCAGGAUAAAAGCAAAACCAUAUUCCUGCUGCUGUCAGUUAUGAUGCACUGAGAAAACUUCAGAGACCUAAACUUUUUCCAGAGAAGAGAAGCUUUACUGGUGUUCCAGCCCUAAGAAACCUUUGUUCAAGAAAACGGCAGAUGCUCUGUUGAAUCCACUGGAGAUUGUUCUGAUACUAAGGACAAGUAUCAACCAUCUUUCCUGUGAAAAAUUCCCUCUCGUACUUUAGUUCUGUGGAUCCAAAAUUUAUAGCAUUCUUCUACCACCACAGGGGCUCAUAUGACAUUAACAGACAAGACACUUUUCAGAAAGACAG
rnacentral:lncRNA from 1 species